GUUGUAGUGAGCUGGGGGUCAGCCUCUUCUCUCGGGUGACUACUGACAGAACUAGAGGGAAUGGCUUCAAGCUGCGCCAGGGAAGAUUCAGGCUGGCCGUUAGGAAAUACUACUUCUCUGAAAGGGUGGUCAGGCACUGGAAUGGGCUGCCCAGAGAGGUGGUGGAGUCACCGAGCCUGGUGGUGUUCAAAGAGCGUUUGGGUGUUGUGAAAUACUACUUCUCUGAAAGGGUGGUCAGGCACUGGAAUGGGCUGCCCAGAGAGGUGGUGGAGUCACUGAGCCUGGUGGUGUUCAAAGAGCGUUUGGAUGUUGUGUUGAGGGACAUGGUUUAGCGGGAACCAUUGGUGAAGGAC
ensembl:lncRNA